rnacentral:lncRNA from 1 species
UUUUCACAUCUUUAAAUGUUUGGGGAAAAAAGGGUAUUUUGUGACACAUCCAAAUUAUGUGAAAUUCAAAUUUCAGUAUCCAUAAACAAAGCUUUAUUGGAACACAGCCACGUGCAUUCAUUUACGUGUUGUCUGUGGCUGCUUUUGUGCCACAAUUGCAGAGUUGAGUAGUUGUGAGAGAGACCGUGGGGCCCACACACAAUAUUUACUUUUGUCUCUAUAUCUUUUUCACAUUAGGGACGCCAAUCAACCUGACACCAGAAAACCCCCUGAGAAGUCCUUGCCUACGGCUGCUUGCUGAGGGAAACGGCUGCAGAAAGUUACUGACAGGUGUCCUUGUUCUGUGCCACAUGUGUCUAAUUUGACUUGUACUGGACACACGAUUGAAGAUCUGUGAACAAGCACUGGCCUCAAGUUAAAUAAUAUGAAAACAAUGACAGUUCAUCCAGCCCCACAGACACUGACUGAGCCCCUGUUCC